GGCGGUGCCUCAGACCCACCUAGAGGAGCCUGUUCUAGAACCGAUAACCCCCGUUCAACCUCACCACCUCUUGUUUACCCGCCUAUAUACCACCGUCGUCAGCUUACCCUGUGAAGGCCCUAUAGUAAGCAAAAUGGGCAAAACCCAA
rnacentral:rRNA from 1 species